AGUGGCGACCGGGUGAGUAACACGUGACUAACCUACCUUUCAGUGGGGAAUAACCUCGGGAAACCGGGGCUAAUACCGCAUAAUGUCUUCGGACCAAAGGAGCAAUUCGCUGGAAGAGGGGGUCGCGGCCGAUUAGCUAGUUGGCGGGGUAACGGCCCACCAAGGCCAUGAUCGGUAGCCGGCCUGAGAGGGCGCACGGCCACACUGGAACUGAAACACGGUCCAGACUCCUACGGGAGGCAGCAGUGGGGAAUUUUGCGCAAUGGGGGAAACCCUGACGCAGCAACGCCGCGUGGAGGAUGAAGCCCCUUGGGGUGUAAACUCCUUUCGAUCGGGACGAUAAUGACGGUACCGGAUGAAGAAGCACCGGCUAACUCUGUGCCAGCAGCCGCGGUAAUACAGAGGGUGCAAGCGUUGUUCGGAAUUAUUGGGCGUAAAGGGUGCGUAGGCGGUGCGGUAAGUCUGUGGUGAAAUCUCCGGGCUCAACUCGGAGCCUGCCACGGA
rnacentral:rRNA from 1 species